KMRKKMRCCCUUAGUUUGAUCCUGGCUCAGAACGAACGCUGGCGGCGUGCUUAACACAUGCAAGUCGAACGUGAUCCAGAGCUUGCUCUGGUGAAAGUGGCGCACGGGUGAGUAACGCGUGGAUAACCUGCCCUGGUAUCUGGGAUAACAUCUCGAAAGGGGUGCUAAUACCGGAUAAGCCUACGGGAUCUUCGGAUUCUGCAGGAAAAGGAGGCCUCUAUUUAUAAGCUUCCGUAUCAUGAUGGGUCCGCGUACCAUUAGCUAGUUGGUGGGGUAAUGGCCUACCAAGGCGACGAUGGUUAGCUGGUCUGAGAGGAUGAUCAGCCACACUGGAACUGAGACACGGUYCAGACUCCUACGGGWGGCAGCAGUGGGGAAUUUUGCGCAAUGGGGGAAACCCUGACGCASCAACGCCGCGUGAGUGAUGAAGGCUUUCGGGUCGUAAAGCUCUGUCAGAGGGGAAGAAWUGAAACGUGCUAAUAUCAYGU
rnacentral:rRNA from 1 species